CUUCUCGGUGCUAGUAUUGUGGUUAGGAUUUUUAGAUGUACUUUCAUAUUUAUUUUCUGCAUCUGAGACUAGAGUCAUGCCAGCCACAGAGAAUAGACCUGAAACCUUCCCUUGCCUGUGUCUCGUCUGUGAAAGCAUCCACAGGGUGAGCAAACACAGUGCGGUCCCCUUGGCCCAUCCUUUGGUUAAACAUUGCUCUUUCCUCUUUCUUCUGUGAAAACUGGUCUUUGUCUUCAGUCAAUUUAGGUGUUUUAUGUUUCGCUAAAAAAAUCACUUCUUUCCUCAAAGUACUUAAAUGUGUGGCAUCACUUUGCCUGUAGAAUUCACCACUGGCUCCAUUGAUCACCUUCAUUCAAGGUUUCCUGGUAUUGAGUACCUCACUUCAUUAUGUCAUCUUCAACUGGAAGUCCCCAAAUUUGACUCUCAGAAUGUCAUAAGAAGAUGGACUCUUGGCACCAUGAAUGGAGGCAUCUGGAUACUGUGCCAUCCACCAGUUUCCAUCGCUGGAGUUUAUCUGCGAGGACUCGCAAAACACACAAAUGGAUAUCACUGCACACAGCACACCUGUCAGAAGUAUGCAUGAUUUGGGAAAGACUAUUAAAUUGGGGUAUUAGUCACACAUUAUUGUUUUCUUAUUUGAACCUGAAAUAAUCAAGGUUGUUAGGUGUCAAAAGAUAAAAAUGCUUACAUGAUGCAUUUUAAGAGAAAAUUAAUAAAAUUGGAGAACUCUUUAAAUGGGUAAGCA
rnacentral:lncRNA from 12 species